AUUGAACGCUGGCGGCAGGCCUAACACAUGCAAGUCGAGCGGAUGAAGGGAGCUUGCUCCUGGAUUCAGCGGCGGACGGGUGAGUAAUGCCUAGGAAUCUGCCUGGUAGUGGGGGAUAACGUCCGGAAACGGGCGCUAAUACCGCAUACGUCCUGAGGGAGAAAGUGGGGGAUCUUCGGACCUCACGCUAUCAGAUGAGCCUAGGUCGGAUUAGCUAGUUGGUGGGGUAAAGGCCUACCAAGGCGACGAUCCGUAACUGGUCUGAGAGGAUGAUCAGUCACACUGGAACUGGGACACGGUCCAGACUCCUGAGGGAGGCAGCAGUGGGGAAUAUUGGACAAUGGGCGAAAGCCUGAUCCAGCCAUGCCGCGUGUGUGAAGAAGGUCUUCGGAUUGUAAAGCACUUUAAGUUGGGAGGAAGGGCAGUAAGUUAAUACCUUGCUGUUUUGACGUUACCAACAGAAUAAGCACCGGCUAACUUCGUG
rnacentral:rRNA from 1 species